UUAUAGGUGGUAGAUAUAAAUAUUGUCAAAGUUCUGCAUUGUAGAUUGUAAAAAGACGUGUGUUGCUACAUAAAAUAAAUUGGGGAUGCAUUAAUACAGGAGUUUUCAAAUCUUCUGCUUGCUUCAUGUUGAUGAUCAUGUUGAGUCUAAAACAGUAAACCGGGAGGAUUUGAAGCCAGUGAAGGAUUCAGUUCAUACGGAUGUUGCUUGAUCACAAGAUGUGAAAUCAGAACCAAUUAAGCAGAUGAAUUUUGAUCUAAACAAGGUUGUUGACCCUAGUGUGAAGAAAGAUGUUGAGCCACAACUCACUAAGGAUAGGAAAUAAAACCAAUAACAAGAAACAAUGAGGAAUCACAAGUUAUUGAGUCGAGAAUCCCAGUGAUUGAGGAGGAUCAAAGAUUAUUCAGGGACGUUGAAGAGAUGAAAUCAAAAUUACAUGAACUUGAUUCGAAAUUAAGCAAGGUCAGCUUUUGUAUUAGAUUUUGCUUCAUUAACUUUCUUAAACUUGCUGCAGGCAAGGAGGACCCAAGAGAGUGGAUGGCAACCAAGAUGGUUACAGAGAGAUGAGGAUGGGUGUUAUCGUUACAUUGGUGGUUACUGGGAAACAAGGGAAAAAGGUAGUUGGGAAGGAAUACUGAUAUAUUUGGACAGAGGAGCGAUUUCCAUACCGCCAUUUUUUUUUUAGGAUCUUCUAUAAUCAAGACACUGAUACCAUCGAAAAUUGGGUUCUUACAAAUUUUCUACUCAUCAAAUAAAAACUUUAAGAUGCAAAGUUCAUGAUGAUUAACUUUAGAUAAAUAUACAGAGAGCUUGGUGUUGCACAGGGUACUGAAGGUCAGACUUUGACAUCCUUUCCAUGAUCGACGAAACAGAUUUGUAGGCUGUGGCCAUUUUUGGAAGAUCACAGAGGCUUGGUGGUUCCUGGGAUGGUUACUGGCUCACUGAGACUCUACAUCAUGAUGGAGACAGCUUCUCCGGUGGUAUGGCUUUUUGAACAACCCUCUUGAGAGAGUCGAGAUAUAUUGUGGCACAUAAUUGCUGCAAUGUGAUUACUCCUUGUCAACUCUUAACAAAGGAUGGUAUUACAAUGUUGUCUCACCUUCAGAAUUUGUAAUUUUGUACAUAAAUACGUCCAAACUGUUUUACUUGUUCUACUAAAUUAUCUUGGAAUUCCUCAAAUAAUUGUACCGCGUUUUUUUAAAUUUUUUUUUUCAGUUUUUAUAAGUGUAAUGUUACCAAGUUAUUGAAGAAAAUAUAUGUGUUUUAUGUAUAUUAUGAUUAUAUAUAAGUAUUUGGUACAAUUUAAGUGAAAAAAAUACAAAAAAAAAAAAAAAAAAAUUAAAUUUUUGUAGGGCAUUUUUAGCAUAGGUUUUGAAACAGAACCGGUACUAAAAGUUUUUUUAUUUUAUUUUUUGGGCCACUUUUCGUACCGGUACAGAGCAAGAACCGAUGCUAAAAGUUUAUUUUUCAUUUUUUGGGCCACUUUUAGCACCGGUUCACAGCAAGGACCGGUUCAAAACCAGUGCGAAAUGGGGGUUUUGAACUGGUGCCCAUUUGUA